CCUAUGCUCAACAGGUGGGUGGAUAUGAGCGUACCACAGGAGGAGGUAUGAACUUUCAACUGACAUUUUAAAUCAGAGCAAAGCAAUUGUAUGAACUGUGUGUUAUUGAAUUGCUUUUACUAAUUGCUUUUCAAUUGUAUUGAUAUCUAUUUUUACAGAGCAAGCCUCUACCACCUCCCUCACCAAUUGGGAUGCACCCCCCUCCACCAAUAGGGAACACAGGCUAUCUGGGGGACUCUGGCAGUCUUCCAAAGGGUAUAAAUAUUCCAGCAGCAGGUCUGUGGAGUGACCCUAACCCCCAGUUGAACCCGGAUGGGAACAUAACUGAGGCCCUCAGCCAGAGUGGCAAACCCGGACCACAGCUGUUCGUAACAGACAUGUAUGCUCUGAUGGCACCGAUGGAAGUUCCACCUGACGGUCAGUAUUGGUUAUAAGUUGUUCUUGCUAUUCUUCUACAUGCUUGAUAGGCUGUUGAGCUAAGGAAAGCUCCCACCAUUUUGACACCCUAUUUGCUGGUAGGGGUCAGACUCCCAUCAGUGCUUUUACUAUGGACCUCCCAGUAUGCCGUAAAGUUAGACAGCAGACUUUCUGCCACAAUCUACAUGAUUCAGUCAUUCAUUCAGUCUACAAUCGUAUUCAUUCAUAUUUGAGCUAAGUUGUGUUUAGAAAUAGUGAGACAUAGUAUGUUUUUUCUCUCUCUGCAGAUUCAGAGAAUUCAGCAUGGUGGAAUGGGAACCUUGCCUAAAAUGCCAUGCCCAAUUGUCACCCUAAUUCAAGAAUGAUCUAUCAGCUACCAAGCAUGAGAACCAAAACGGCAGUUUUAAUAAAAAACUAGUAGUAUUUAUAGCCUCUGGAAUUGCCGUAAAUUGUUGUGGGAUAAUUAGGAGUACAGCGAUACCUUCCAUCCCUGGAUUGGAGUACGAAGUUCACAGAGGUGCAAACAUAUUGGCAUAUGGUCGUUUCAACUAGGAGAGCCUUUCUUCUAGUGUUCUUCCACUAGAGGACACCAUCCACUUUGGUAAACCACCUUGAACUCAAUACGAUUGGUGUGAGGCAUAGAGAUGGAUAGAGGGCGUACUUUCCACAAAGAUAGAGUGUGGGCUCUCUUUCGCUCUCUAUGUCUCACACCCACUGUAAUGGCGAGAAUCAAACACUGGAUGUCAGUGUGGUAUAAC
rnacentral:lncRNA from 1 species